GCCUGGGUGGCUCAGUCGGUUGAGCAACUGACUUCGGCUCAGGUCAUGAUCUCACAGCUCGUGAGUUCGAGCCCUACGUCGGGCU
rnacentral:tRNA from 1 species